UACGUAGGGGGCAAGCGUUAUCCGGAUUUACUGGGUGUAAAGGGAGCGUAGGCGGUGCAGCAAGUCAGAAGUGAAAGCCCGGGGCUCAACUCCGGGACUGCUUUUGAAACUGUUGAACUAGAUUGCAGGAGAGGUAAGUGGAAUUCCUAGUGUAGCGGUGAAAUGCGUAGAUAUUAGGAGGAACACCAGUGGCGAAGGCGGCUUAUUGGACUGUAAAUGACGCUGAGGCUCGAAAGCGUGGGGAGCAAACAGG
rnacentral:rRNA from 1 species